AGGACGAACGCUGGCGGCGUGCUUAACACAUGCAAGUCGAGCGGAAAGGCCCUUCGGGGUACUCGAGCGGCGAACGGGUGAGUAACACGUGAGUAACCUGCCCCUAGCUCUGGGAUAGCUCCGGGAAACCGGGAUUAAUACCAGAUACGACCACUUUAGACAUCUGUCGUGGUGGAAAGGAUUCCGGCUAGGGAUGGGCUCGCGGCCUAUCAGCUUGUGGUGGGGUAACGGCCUACCAAGGCGACGACGGGUAG
rnacentral:rRNA from 1 species